AUGGAAAUGAUUUAUUUCCAAACUCCAAUGCAAAAUGUGCCGCAUCCAGAUUAUUGUUAUCUUCUCUUUUUCUUUUCUUGGGAGAGGUUUCUUCUAUGCUGGUUCCGACCAUUGGAAUUUUCAAAGACCACCACCGCAAGAACAUGUCACUGGAGGCUCAACAUACAAGGACUAGCUGGAAGAGACAUCUUCCCAAGGGCUGGUUAUCAGAUUCUAAAAGAGGAGCUUGCUAUGGCCAUUCAGGGGUCCAGGGCGAUUAGAUGCAUAUGGUAA
rnacentral:rRNA from 1 species